rnacentral:tRNA from 1 species
AUCUGGGUGGCUCAGUGGAUUGAGAACCAGACUUAGAGACUGGAGGUACCCAGGUUCAAAUCUGGCCUCAGAUA